UCCUGACAGACGCAUUGGGCGGCUGACACUAGCCACGACAGGAGAAUGAAAUG
rnacentral:sRNA from 12 species